AUGUGCGCGCCCGCACCACGACCUAGCUACUUGCUUUCUUUGCCCAAUUUUCUUUGUUUCUUUCUCUGGAUCUACGCAAGUGGUAAUGGGGACACCGGGGCUUCUUGUCUAUUUCAGGGCUUCGUGGCCAAGCCGGAGACCCUGCCGGAUGGGUCCGUCAAUCUCAUGGUCUGGCGGUGCGUCAUCCCCGGCAAGCCAGGGACUGACUGGGAAGGUGGAUAUUUCCCGCUAACUCUGCAAUUUGAUGAUAAUUACCCAACAACCGCUCCUAGCUGCAGGUUCCCAGCAGGUUUCUUCCAUAUCAAUGUCUAUGAUUCUGGAGUAGUAUGCCUAUCGAUACUGGGUGAUGCAUGGAAACCUUCAAUUACAGUGAAGCAGGUUUUGGUAGGCAUCCAGGAGUUGCUGGAUGACCCAAAUCCUAACUCAGCCGCACAGCAUCGAUGCUAUGAACUCUAUAAGAAGAACAUGCCAGAGUACAGGAACAAAGUCCGUGAGCAGACCAAGCGCUACCCUUCGCGCAUGUAG
rnacentral:rRNA from 1 species